AAUAAAAUGGCUGAGGUUUACAAUAGGCGAUAAAUUGUAAAUUUAUUAACGAGAUAAUUCUCUUUUAUU
rnacentral:tRNA from 1 species